rnacentral:lncRNA from 1 species
CUGGGGAAGGACAUUUCCCAGCUCAGGGAAUUACCAGUCGAGGGUUUUAUAACCACAAUAUGGGGCCGAGUCAUUCCAGUGAGAAGUUGCUGCCACUUUACCUUUCUUCCCAAGUAGGCAAAUUUAAAUGAAAGAAUGGCUGGACUUCAUUGGAAGCAGAUCCGGAGCACGAGAGCUUUCCUUCUGUCCACCUGGGAAGGUUCUGCUCUUGCAAGGCAGCCCCUCCCUCCCGACUACCUGCAAAGGUCUGCAGACCCGAGGAGGGAGCUCGUGGUAGGUCCGCAGAGCACGGACUUAGCCAUCCUGACUGAUGAUGUGAGGUUAGACACCGCACAACACAACGGCUCAGAGUAAUAAGCAGUGAGUGUUGUUUGCGGUUCUUGCUUUAUAGUUUGCCGAACUGCUUUCUUAUAUAUCUUCAUAAUCUUUGCAAACUAAGCUUCAAGGCAAAGGCUGUAAUUAUCCUGAUUUUCCAAAGGAGGUGGCUGAGCUUCAGCCACCAAAGCAGUGCUUCUUAAAAAUGUAAUGUGCAUAUGAAUCACCAGGGAUCUUAUUAAAACACAGAUUCAGACUCAGGUGAUCUGGG